CAGAGUAGACUUAAGCGCGUCAAGUGCCGCCGGAUGGGAGGUCGCCGGCGGACGAAGGGAGCGUCCCGCGUCGCUAAAGCCGCAUCCGCUGC
rnacentral:ncRNA from 1 species